UACGGAGGGUGCAAGCGUUAAUCGGAAUUACUGGGCGUAAAGCGUGCGUAGGUGGUUUAAUAAGUUAUCUGUGAAAAGCCCUGGGCUCAACCUGGGAAAGUCAGAUAACGACUGUUAGACUUGAGUAAUGGGAGAGGGUAGUGGAAUUUCCGGUGUAGGCGGUGAAAAUUGCGUAGAGAUCGGAAGGAACACCAGUGGCGAAAGGCGGC
rnacentral:rRNA from 1 species